AGAACGAACGCUGGCGGCAGGCUUAACACAUGCAAGUCGAACGCCCCGCAAGGGGAGUGGCAGACGGGUGAGUAACGCGUGGGAAUCUACCCAACCCUUCGGAAUAGCUCCGGGAAACUGGAAUUAAUACCGAGUACGCCCUACGGGGGGAAAGAUUUAUCGGGGUUGGAUGAGCCCGCGUUGGAUUAGCUAGUUGGUGGGGUAAUGGCCUACCAAGGCGACGAUCCAUAGCUGGUCUGAGAGGAUGAUCAGCCACACUGGGACUGAGACACGGCCCAGACUCCUACGGGAGGCAGCAGUGGGGAAUAUUGGACAAUGGGCGCAAGCCUGAUCCAGCCAUGCCGCGUGAGUGAUGAAGGCCCUAGGGUUGUAAAGCUCUUUCAGUGGGAAGAUAAUGACGGUACCACGAGAAGAAGCCCCGCUAACUCGUGCCAGCAGCCGC
rnacentral:rRNA from 1 species